rnacentral:rRNA from 1 species
GGAAUCUUCCACAAUGGACGCAAGUCUGAUGGAGCAACGCCGCGUGAGUGAAGAAGGGUUUCAGCUCGUAAAGCUCUGUUGUUAAAGAAGAACGUGGGUAAGAGUAACUGUUUACCCAGUGACGGUAUUUAACCAGAAAGCCACGGCUAACUACGUGCCCG